AAGAAGAAGAAGAACAGCAAUGGCCACGCUCGUGAAGGGCAGUGCGAGCCGCACGGAACGGCACCGGACGAUGUUUGAACAGCUACCAAGCGAAUCGAAGAAUAUAUGGGAGUCGUUCUGACGUUGCAGAGGGGUUGUCCUGGGACAUGAUUUUGCUGGAGCGCGGAAGUAUGCCACGUCAACCUGGAAGGAUGAGACAACGCCUUAUGAAGUCCCAGGAUUUAGGAAUCCGACAGAUGGAGCUGGGUGUUACAGCGCUGGAUCUUUUUUCGAUGCAGGCAAAACUCUGGCGAAGGUGCCAGCAGAUCUUCACAGUCAGGUCAGGUCAGUUGCACGGUCCACUGAGGUACAGGGGCGAACAAGGACAUCGCAGGAAAACUACAGCGGGUCUUUGAUGCGUCAAAACCAGUCAUGUCUUCUAAGCAGCGUCGACCACAAGCAGUGCUGGAGCCUUCAGUGAAGCAGUGAGGUCCUGGAAGCCAAUGAGGACUUCACAGCACAGCUACGCCAAGCCGCCAAGCUGAUGUAUUACAGCCCCGAAUAAAUCAUGAUGCAUGAUA